GAUGAAGAACGCAGCGAAAUGCGAUACGUAAUGUGAAUUGCAAAUUCAGUGAAUCAUCGAGUCUUUGAACGCACAUUGCGCCCCCUGGUCUUCCGGGGGGCAUGCCUGUCCGAGCGUCAUUGCUGCCCUCAAGCACGGCUUGUGUGUUGGGCCCCGUCCUCCGAUCCCGGGGGACGGGCCCGAAAGGCAGCGGCGGCACCGCGUCCGGUCCUCGAGCGUAUGGGGCUUUGUCACCCGCUCUGUAGGCCCGGCCGGCGCUUGCCGAUCAACCCAAAUUUUUAUCCAGGUUGACCUCGGAUCAGGUAGGGAUACCCGCUGAACUUAAGCAUAUCAAUAAGCGGAGGA
rnacentral:misc_RNA from 1 species